AAAAUACAACAUGGUUUUACAAAAGGUAGAUCAUGUCAGACCAACCUGAUCUCUUUCUUUUGAGAAGAUAACCAAUUUUCUAGAUAAAGGAAAUGCAGUAGAUCUAAUCUACCUGGAUUUCAGUAAAGCAUUGAUACAGUUCCAUAUGGGGAAUUAUCAAAUUGGUGAAGAUGGG